UACGGAGGAGGCAAGCGUUAUCCGGAAUUAUUGGGCGUAAAGCGUCCGCAGGUGGCGAUUCAAGUCUGCGGUUAAAGACUGGGGCUUAACCCUGGAAAGGCCGUGGAACUGAACGACUAGAGUGCAGUAGGGGUAGAGGGAAUUCCCGGUGUAGCGGUGAAAUGCGUAGAGCUCGGGAAGAACAUCGGUGGCGAAAGCGCUCUGCUGGACUGCAACUGACACUCAGGGACGAAAGCUAGGGGAGCGAACGGG
rnacentral:rRNA from 1 species